rnacentral:rRNA from 1 species
UACGAAGGGGGCUAGCGUUACUCGGAAUUAUUGGGCGUAAAGCGUGCGCAGGCGGUUUGAUAAGUCGGGAGUGAAAGCCUUGAGCUCAACUCAAGAAUUGCUUUCGAAACUAUCAAACUUGAGUAUUGGAGGGGAUAGCGGAAUUCCUAGUGUAGGGGUGAAAUCCGUAGAUAUUAGGAGGAACACCGGUGGCGAAAGCGGCUAUCUGGACAAUAACUGACGCUGUUGCACGAAAGCGUGGGGAGCAAACAGG